rnacentral:lncRNA from 1 species
UCUAGGGGAAUAAAGAUGGAAUGACUUCUAAUUUUUAGGUCCGUAUGGUUUGAAAUACUUGCACACAAACCGCCCGAAAGCAUUCCUAGAAAUCUCGGCCCAAAAAAUGACGUUUAGUAAUUCUAAAUGGGAAUACAAGAUGAAAAACAAUAGUUUUGGCAGUUAAAGUUUGAGAUUCGAUGGUGUCGUAGAUCCAUUUGGUCAUCAGGUGUUACGAGCCACACCCAUGUCUAGCUAGAAUAGUGUGUCAGGCUCAGGCUAGAGAAGAAACGGGGAACAAACUGAUGAAAGAAUUAUCAUAACGAGGGAAUUCACUCAGAACUAACAAGAAUGAUAACGUGCUCCGACUGGAGCGGUUUAGGAACUUCUGGAAGCCUCUAGGGGAAUAAAGAUGGAAUGACUUCUAAUUUUUAGGUCCGUACGAUUUGAAAUACUUGCACACAAACCCCAAGAAAGCGUUUCUGGAAAUCUCGGCCCAAAAAAGGACGUUUAGUAAUUCUAAAAGGGACUACAGGAUGAAAAACAAUAGUUUUGCCAGUUAAAGUUUGAGAUUCGAUGGUGCCGUAGAUCCGUUUGGUCAUCAGGUGUUACGAGCCACACCCAUGUCUAGCUAGAAUAGUGUGUCAGGCUCAGGCUAGAGAAGAAACAGGGUACAAACUGAUGAAAGAAUUAUCAUACCGAGGGAAUUCACUCAGAACUAACAAGAAUGAUAACGUGCUCCGACUGGAGCAGUUUAGGAACGGCUUGAAGGCUCUAGGGGAAUAAAGAUGGAAUGACUUCUAAUUUUUAGGUCCGUAUGAUUUGAAAUACUUGCACACAAACCCCGAGAAAGCGUUCCUGGAAAUCUCGGCCCAAAAAGGACGUUUAGUAAUUCUAAAAGGGACUACAAGAUGAAAAACAAUAGUUUUGGCAGUUAAAGUUUGAGAAUCGAUGGUGCCGUAGAUCCGUUUGGUCAUCAGGUGUUACGAGCACACCCAUGUCUAGCUUGAAUAGUGUGUCAGGCUCAGUCUAGAGAAGAAACGGGGAACAAACUGAUGAAAGAAUUAUCAUACCGAGGGAAUUCACUCAGAAUUAACAAGAAUGAUAACGUGCUCCGACUUGAGCGGUUUAGGAACAGCUGGAAGGCUCUAGGGGAAUAAAGAUGGAAUGACUUCUAAUUUUUAGGUCCGUAUGAUCUGAAAUACUUGCACAAAAACCUCGAGAAAGCGUUCCUGGAAAUCUUGGCCCAAAAAAGGACGUUUAGUAAUUCUAAAAGGGACUACAAGAUGAAAAAUAAUAGUUUUGCCAGUUAAAGUUUGAGAUUCGAUGGUGUCGUAGAUCCGUUUGGUCAUCAGGUGUUACGAGCCACACCCAUGUCUAGCUAGAAUAGUGUGUCAGGCUCAGGCUGGAGAAGAAACAGGGUACAAACUGAUGAAAGAAUUAUCAUACUGAGGGAAUUCACUCAGAACUAACAAGAAUGAUAACGUGCUCCGACUGGAGCGGUUUAGGAACUGCUGGAAAGGUCUAGGGGAAUAAAGAUGGAAUGACUUCUAAUUUUUAGGUCCGUAUGGUUUGAAAUACUUGCACACAAACCGCACGAAAGCAUUCCUAGAAAUCUCGGCCCAAAAAAUGACGUUUAGUAAUUCUAAAUGGGACUAUAGGAUGAAAAACAAUAGUUUUGGCAGUUAAAGUUUGAGAUUCGAUGGUGCCGUAGAUCCGUUUGGUCAUCAGGUGUUACGAGCCACACCCAUGUCUAGCUAGAAUAGUGUGUCAGGCUCAGGCUAGAGAAGAAACGGGGAACAAACUGAUGAAAGAAUUAUCAUAACGAGGGAAUUCACUCAGAACUAACAAGAAUGAUAACGUGCUCCGACUGGAGCGGUUUAGGAACUGCUGGAAGGCUCUAGGGGAAUAAAGAUGGAAUGACUUCUAAUU